CCUACGGGUGGCAGCAGUGGGGAAUAUUGCACAAUGGGGGAAACCCUGAUGCAGCGACGCCACGUGAGCGAAGAAGUAUUUCGGUAUGUAAAGCUCUAUCAGCAGGGAAGAAAAUGACGGUACCUGAGUAAGAAGCUCCGGCUAAAUACGUGCCAGCAGCCGCGGUAAUACGUAGGGAGAAAGCGUUAUCCGGAUUUACUGGGCGGAAAGGGAGCGUAGGCGGCCUGCCAAGUCUGAUGUGAAAUACCGGGGCGCCACCCCGGGGCUGCAUUGGAAACUGGCAGGCUGGAGUGACGGAGAGGCAGGCGGAAUUCCUAGUGUAGCGGUGCAAUGCGUAGAUAUUAGGAGGAACACCAGUGGCGAAGGCGGCCUGCUGGACGGUGACUGACGCUGAGGCUCGAAAGCGUGGGGAGCAAACAGGAUUAGAUACCCGAGUAGUC
rnacentral:rRNA from 1 species